rnacentral:rRNA from 1 species
UACAUGUGGGGCAAGCGUUGUUCGGAAUUACUGGGCAUAAAGGGGGCGUAGGCUGCGCGGAAAGUUGGGUGUGAAAUCCCUCGGCUCAACCGAGGAACUGCGCCCAAAACUGCCGUGCUCGAGGGAGACAGAGGUGAGCGGAACUUAGGGUGGAGCGGUGAAAUGCGUUGAUAUCCUAAGGAACACCGGUGGCGAAAGCGGCUCACUGGGUCUCUUCUGACGCUGAGGCACGAAAGCUAGGGUAGCGAACGGG